rnacentral:rRNA from 1 species
UACGGAGGGAGCUAGCGUUGUUCGGAAUUACUGGGCGUAAAGCGUGCGCAGGCGGUCCAGCAAGUCGGGGGUGAAAACCCGGGGCUCAACCCCGGAAUUGCCUCCGAAGCUGCUGGACUUGAAUACGAGAGAGGGUCGCGGAAUUCUUGGUGUAGAGGUGAAAUUCGUAGAUAUCAGGAAGAACACCAGUGGCGAAAGCGGCGACCUGGCUCGAUAUUGACGCUCAUGCACGAAAGCGUGGGGAGCAAACAGGAUUAGAAACCCCAGUAGU